AUGGCACGCUCUGACUCCGGCGGCGAGCAGCAGAAGCACCACACCCUGCCCUCCUUCCUGCGCAAGGUGAAGAGCAACCUCGCGCGACCCGCCAAGAUCCUUGUCUUGAGCAGCGUCCUGAGGGUGGCGCUGCUGCUCCUGAUCGGGGAAGCGCUUGAGAUGCAUCCUACAGUCCGCUACCCCGCGAGGCACCUCUACCUGCUCUUGGAAUUCGUCUGUUCAUUGGCCGUCGUUGCGUCCGUGGCGGAGGGGCCUGGCAAGGGCACUGCCCUGUGGCGCGCGUGCCGGCUCAUGCAGAGGAAGUACUACAGUCAGUACGUGCUUUACUUGGCAGGGGUGCUGCUGAUCAGAACAGCGAUUUUGCUGGUGUGCGUCCUCGUCGUCGCCACGGUGGGCUUGCCGCCGACGGGUGGUGUGGUGGAUGCGAGCCUAACGUUCUUGCUGCCAAGUGCAAAGGAGGUGCUCUCUGUUGGUAAUGUGACCGGCUACUACUUCGCGUGCAGGGAGAGCGAUGAGCAGGAGAAGGACGCUGCGGCUCGAAUCUUGAUUAGAGAAUCUACUAGUAGUAAAAGCUUAUUGCGUUUCUACCUUGUUAAGUUUAUUACGUUUCUACCUUGGUAA
rnacentral:rRNA from 1 species